UCUCUUUUCUUUUUUGCGUGCGUCUGUCUCGUGACAAGAAAUGGCAUGGGAGUGGAGAGCUAGAGUAGAGCUGAUCUGCUCAGCCAUCAAGAAUAUCUUCGACUCGUCCAAUCUAAGCCGCUAUCUUUUUUUUCGGAUAAAGCAUCAUUUUUUUCCUACAUGUUGGAUGGAUGCCAUCUGUCCCUCCAUGGAUAGCCGAUACUUGUCAACCG
rnacentral:lncRNA from 1 species